GUUAUAAAGUAUGAAAGUGUUAUUCACGAGUUUGAUCCUUACUUCAACUAUAGAGUCACUCAGUUUCUGACAAAGAAUGGAAUAUAUGGUUUUUGGAACUGGUUUGAUGAUCGGACCUGGUAUCCUCUUGGCCGUGUGAUUGGUGGAACUGUUUACCCUGGUUUGACUUUGACAGCAGGCACCAUAUGGUGGAUACUGAAUUCUUUGAAUAUUCCGCUGUCUGUGGAGACUGUGUGUGUAUUCACAGCACCUAUAUUUUCUGCUUUUGCUUCUUGGGCAACUUACCUUCUAACUAAGGUAUGUGUUGUGGCAUCCAAU